rnacentral:rRNA from 1 species
UACGUAGGUGGCAAGCGUUGUCCGGAAUUAUUGGGCGUAAAGGGCGCGCAGGCGGUCGCGUGGGCCAUCGCGUGAAAGCCCCCGGCUCAACCGGGCGGUGGCGGGUGGGACCGCGCGGCUGGAGGGUGGUAGGGGCCGGUGGAAUUCCUGGUGUAGCGGUGAAAUGCGCAGAUAUCAGGAGGAACACCGGUGGCGAAGGCGACUUACUGGACUGUAACUGACACUGAGGCAUGAAAGCGUGGGGAGCAAACAGG